UAACAUUUGCACCUUGAUUCUGGUGAGGACAAAACUAUAAAUUUGAAGGCACUGGUGGAAGGCAUCUACUGGAGGAAAAUGUUGAUGUUGGCAAGCCUCGUAGUGGAAGCAUGCAUGGCACGGGAACAAGGCUCUGGGAAGAGCUAUACGUGCCACAGGGUGUUUCCUUCUCUGAGUGAAACUGCAAGUGAACAGUGAAUAACUACUGGGAAACCACCUAAUUACGUGCAAAUUGGGCUAAGAAACUGCACUUCCCAAAUGCUGCCCUCAUCAGAAUGGUAAAGCAUUGUGAUAGUUACUGACAAAAUACACGUAUGCAAUAUUGGAUAUUGUUCACUUCCCAAUAAAAAUUACUGGAGUAUGAUUGCCAUCUUUAAA